CUACCUACGGGGCGCAGCAGUGGGGAAUAUUGCACAAUGGGGGAAACCCUGAUGCAGCGACGCCGCGUGAGCGAUGAAGUAUUUCGGUAUGUAAAGCUCUAUCAGCAGGGAAGAAGAUGACGGUACCUGACUAAGAAGCCCCGGCUAACUACGUGCCAGCAGCCGCGGUAAUACGUAGGGGGCAAGCGUUAUCCGGAUUUACUGGGUGUAAAGGGAGCGUAGACGGCAAUACAAGUCGGAAGUGAAAUACCCGGGCUUAACCUGGGAACUGCUUUGGAAACUGUAUGGCUGGAGUGCUGGAGAGG
rnacentral:rRNA from 1 species